CCCCUAAUAGCUCUGGUGGGAGAGCAUGAGACUCAUAGUCUCAGGGUAGUGGGUUCGUGUCCCACGUCGGGCG
rnacentral:tRNA from 1 species